CGACGCAUAAAGCUGAGCCAACAUGGCGGACAUAUGGCUGCAGUUGCAGCACCGCCUCCUGUGAGUCAGAAGGCUUCAGGAGGAGCGCUAGUGUAAUGACAGCUCAAAGCUGUCCACGUCAACACUGAGCUACCACCAUGGACUGCGCGGCACUGGAACCAUCGCUCUACACAGUGAAGGCCAUCUUCAUCUUAGACAAUGAUGGGAACAGACUGCUUUCAAAGUACUAUGACCCUCAGCUCUACCCAUCCAUGAAAGAGCAGAGGAAUUUUGAAAUGAACGUCUUCAACAAAACCCACAAAGCUGACAAUGAGAUUGCUUUCGUAGAGGGAAUGACGAUAGUCUACAAGAGCAGUAUAGACUUGUUUUUCUAUGUAGUUGGCAGCGCACAGGAGAAUGAGCUCAUGCUCAUGGCAGUGUUGAAUUGCCUGUUUGAGUCUCUCAGUUUGAUGUUAAGAAAAAAUGUGGAAAAAAAGACUCUGCUAGAUAAUAUGGAUGGGGUAUUCCUGAUGGUGGAUGAAAUCAUUGAUGGAGGAGUGAUUUUGGAGAGUGACCCUCAACAGGUCAUUGAAAAGGUCAACUACAAGUAUUUGUCAGAGCAAGCGUUUGGCUUUGUCCUUUUUGAUUACAUCACUGGGAACGUGGAGGGCCAAGGAGAAAGACGCCAGCUCUUGUAACCUCGCUCUCCUCUGGUUUAGCGAGAGAAAGAGAGAGAUGAGGGUGAGAGAGCGGGCAGGCGGAGGACAGCCCAUUAUCAGAGCAGAGUGUGGCACAGCACAUCACUGAGAAACUGAAUAUCACAUCUAAUGUGUUGCAGUCAGCAAAGGAGCAGAUCAAAUGGUCAAUUCUGAAAUAAGUCAAAUAGCCUACUUUUUGUGACUUGAAGGAAUAAGUAAAUUAUUAAAGUGAAUUGGGAAACAAUUUCUUUUUGUUUUUAUAAGUUGUAAUUUAAUUCAUCAUAAAAGUAGGACAGUUGCAUCUUAUCUUUUGUUUAUGUAUAUUUAUUCUUUUGUUGAAUAUUUAGGGUUUUUUGAAAUGAUGUUUUUGCUAAUCAGUUUUGGAGCAAAAUAUCAGCACUGCACAUUGUACUUGGGUGUUUUGUCUAAAGCUGUUUUUAAAAUAAUUUACAUUUUUUUGAAGCAAACAUAUUGUCUUUUGAUUUUGAUAGAGAUCAGCUCCUAUGAUUGUCAAACAUGGUUUGGUCUUUUGUUACAAUAGAUUUGAUGUUCUGUUACACCAUGUAAAAAAUUAUCAAAAUUACUAUUUUAGUUGUGUAGCCAAAUGCAUUUUAGUGCAUUAAGUCAUAAGAAAUAUUUGAAUAAGACCAUGCAAUUUAGAUGUCACCACAUAUUUUAAGCUUACCUGAAAAGCAUUUUGCAAUGUUUCAACAGCGAUAUUUUGCUGUUUCACAAAUGUAUGAUGUUACAAUGGAUUUUUAAUUUUGCUUAAAAUUAUAAAGAUUAUUAUAUUAAUAUGGGUCUGUUAGCAUUAUUAUAUCAACAAUUGUCUGGCAAGGCAAAUACACAGUACAUAGUAAUUUAGUACAAGAAUACAUAACUUUUUUAAAUAAUGGAAAUAAUAUAUUUUGUUUACUAGAAUGUUUUUCUAGGAAAUUAAACUGCACAUACCACAUUCUCCCGUUUAAUUUGUUUCGUUUUUUACUAUGGUUUUGUCACCACAAAGUAAUAAAUAUGGUUUUGAUAGGA